rnacentral:misc_RNA from 1 species
GAUGAAGAACGCAGUGAAAUGCGAUAAGUAAUGUGAAUUGCAGAAUUCAGUGAAUCAUCGAAUCUUUGAACGCACAUUGCGCCCGCCAGUAUUCUGGCGGGCAUGCCUGUCUGAGCGUCAUUUCAACCCUCAUGCCCCUAGGGCGUGGUGUUGGGGAUCGGCCAAAGCCCGCAAGGGACGGCCGGCCCCUAAAUCUAGUGGCGGACCCGUCGUGGCCUCCCCUGCGAAGUAGUGAUAUUCCGCAUAGGAGAAGCGACGAGCCCCUGCCGUUAAACCCCCCACUUUCUCAGGUUGACCUCAGAUCAGGUAGGAAUACCCGCUGAACUUAAGCAUAUCAAUAAGCGGAGGA